rnacentral:rRNA from 1 species
UACGUAGGUGACCAGCGUUGUCCGGAUUUACUGGGCGUAAAGAGCGCGCAGGCGGUCGUUCAAGUCGAGUGUGAAAGCCCCCGGCUCAACUGGGGAGGGUCACUCGAUACUGAUCGACUUGAAGGCAGGAGAGGGAAGCGGAAUUCCCGGUGUAGUGGUGAAAUGCGUAGAUAUCGGGAGGAACACCAAUUGCGAAGGCAGCUCGCUGGGACGUUACUGACGCUGAGACGCGAAAGCGUGGGGAGCAAACAGG